UAAAAUUUAUGCAAACCUUUAACGUACCAUUAUUCUUUACAACUGGCACAAUAUUAGCUAACCAUUCGCCAUACCUGGUAGUGCGAAUGAAAUUACAGCGAAGAAGCCUUUUGACUUCCUCUUUAAUCUUCGAAAGUAUUGCUGAAGCAAAUCGCCUUGGGUUCUACUUCACAGGCUUCUUUCCAGGCUUGAUCGGCAGUUUCAAUUCGAC
rnacentral:lncRNA from 1 species